rnacentral:lncRNA from 1 species
UAUAUCAGUUAUACAAUAGACAAUAAGUGUAUAAUUAUGUAAUGUGACUGGUAAUAUAUAAAACAAAACAAAAAACAAAAAAACAACAUGUGACUAAAUAAAGAUAUAAAACCCCAACAAAUAAUUUCUAAUAUAAUAAUAGUGACUGUUUUUAGAGAACCAUUACAAGAUGAAAAAAUAAACUAUUUAUUCUUUAUCAAUCAUAUAGGAUACAAAAAUGUGAUCUCUGCAUACAGGAGCUGUUGUAUAACUAAAGUUGUAAGAAUCAUUGAAAUACCACACAAAUAUUGUGACAAUAACAAUAAAUAUAAUUGUUACCUGUAAAGAGUUUGCAUUCAUAAUAAUGAUAACUGAAAAAUGAUCUAUAUGAUCAUAAGUGACAUUCUGCAAAGUACCCACAUGUGCUUGUCCUAAGUGACAUACUUUUAAGAACCUAUGAGGCUUUUCUUUAGUGACAUACUGUUAAGUACCUACAUAGGAGGGACUUUUCUUAAGUGACAUACUUCGUUAAGUACCCACAUGUGCUUGCCUUAAGUGACAGUUUUUAAAGUACCUAUAUGUUUUAGGGAAAUACUAACCUUAAUAACUCUUAGUAAACUACUAAAACUGAAUCUCUGCUCUUAGUAAACUACUAAAACUGAAUCUCUGCUCUUAGUAAACUACUAAAACUGAAUCUCUGCUCUUAGUAAACUACUAAACUGAAUCUCUGCUUUCAUGUUAAUAUAAUUUGUAUCAACAAAAUGAGCUUACCCAGUAACUCAUUAAAUUUCUGUCAGAUAUAAAAUUUCAUGUGUAUUUAACACAAACAUCAUUAAGAAAGUCAUGUAACAACCAAAAUGUCUGAUAUGUAUCUACCUUUAAUAUAGAGAUGAGCAACAGGUUCAACCAUGCAAUAAAUGUUAACGAUGCAUUAGCAUAUUCUAACAACAGUAUUAGAUUUAAUGACAAGUUGAACAACCAGCCCCUGAGAAUUUCCUGAAUCAGUUUGCAAUAAAUACAAUAUUAUCUGUUUUCUUUAACUAGCUAAAUAUAUUAAAUGUUUUUAUUGCACAUGUAUAUAUAUAAACAAAGCCAAAAACAAGUAUCAGCUGAACUUGAAUAUUAUGCAAAAUUCCUCGAUAUUUUGAGUUUCAUGCUAUAAGUUGGCUGGAAUUAUACUGUAAUAAGUAUUUGUAAAUCAAAUUUAUCUCUGACACAACAAAAAGGUAGUAGUGGUAGAAAUACAGGUGAACAAUGACUAGUAUUGUUUAUCAUUUCCCACCAGAAUUUAAAUUUCAGUAGCAUAUUGGAACUAUUAGUACAAAAGCAUCAUUAUUCAUACAUGUAUAUCUCAUACACAAAAGUAUUGCUCAUUGUCAGUACUGUCAACGUAUAUUUGAAGGAACUUCUAUUCCAUGACAGUACAGUGUUAUCUGAAAAACUUGUAAAUCAUAAAAAAAACCUCAUGAUUUACACCUAAUUUUAGUAGAAAUAAAAUGAUCUUAAAAUAUAAUAUUUUUUCCAUUACAAUAUAAAUUUAAUGUAUAAAACAUAUUUCUUAUAAAAUGCAAAAAUUUAAUCAUUUUUAACACAAUGGUAAAUAAGCUAUCCUGAAGGCAGUUAUAGAGUUGACUGUGAGGAAAAAAAUAAUAUGUUGAGCAAGCCAGAAAGCAUACUGAAUGAAACUGGUGCAAUCCCGCAAAAUAAGAUUAUAAUUAGCAAGAUGGGUAAGUCAACAUUAAAACUGUUUCAAUUAAUGUCAACUAUAGCAAGGCUUUAGCAAGCAAUGGUACAUUAAUGAUGAAGCAGAAUAGAAUUCUGGUAAAGUAAAUUAAAUAUCAACAAUGUUACUAUUUCUAGCUUUAACUAUUAUAUAGCACCUUCAGAUGCAUAAAGAUUCAUAUAGCACCUUUGUCAUACGUCUCUUCUAAAUUGUCUAAAACAGUCCUAACAAAUAAAGAACAAUGAAAAAACAAAAAGUAUAAAAUGUAUAACAAUUGUAUAAAUAAUAAAUCAAUUUCGAUAUUCUACCUGAAAAUUAUGUUGACAAAGAAUAUCCUCUUGUGACUAGAAAAGAUUGUACCCCUGUUUUGUGUAGUACAAAUUUGCAAAAAUAUCAUUUCCCCGAUAAUAUUUUCAAAAGCAUACACAACAUUUUUCCGAUUGACUUACAAUGUCUUUAACAGUUGAAUUCAACCAAUGAUGGUACACUAUCCAAAUAUUUUGGUGCAAUUAAUAAAAUAACCCAUAAUCCAAUAGAUUUUGAAGUAGUGAAUUAUAAAAAAAAUUGAUCUAUGUAUGCAAAGAAAUGACCAGUUGUUGAUAUGAAAAAGAACCACACUGAAUAGUAUAUGGAUAAAGGUAUAAUAAGUCUUUAACAGUUUUUGAAGUGAAUAAGAAGAAACCUGUUUAUAAAUUCUUGUCCUAUAAACAUAAGUAAAUAAAUCAUUGCAUAGUUUCUUAGAAUAAAUAUAUUAACAUGAUAAUUCAUAGAAAAUGAGCAAAGUAUCUGUAUUUGUAAAGAAAUAGAAAAUAACAGUUUGGAAAAUUACAUAUAAAAAAGUAAUUUUCUAUGAUGUCAUGGCAAUUCCUUCCAUAUAUAUUAUAUAUACAAACAAUCCCCUCUACCCAUUGUCAGCCGCAAUGCAUUUAUUACUGGUCAUCAUUAACUAAUAAAACGUAGUCUAGUUGGUUUCCAAUAAAAUAGCUGGCAUUGGAUUGAAGCCUGUCUGAAUGGGGAUUCCUCUCUUGGGUAGGUAGGGUGUCGUCC